AAGCAGAUGGCGGCUGACCUUUGAGCGGCUCCCGGUCCAAAGCGAUGAACCUCGGGGGCGGGGCCACGGAACUCUCGAAACAGACCUGCAGAUAUAACAUAUUCCGCCUUUAACAGCGUCCUACAGCUGCCAAAAUGCUGCUGUCCACACAUUAGCAGGAACACGAGAACUCGGCACAAGAGCCGCUGCAACGAGCACCAUGUGAAAAAUGUGGCCUGGAAGUGAUUCGAUAUUGAAGCAAAAUAAAAAGUGAUUGCGGUUCAUUUGGGGUCCGGCGGAAAGGAGGUUUUACAGAGCAGCGGUACGGUUCUGACCGGUGCAGUGAGUGACGCGCUGCACCGACACGUGAAAGCGGUACAAAUAACGGGCACAACAGCAGACAACUGACAACCACAUCCUGUCAAAAUCGUAAUAAUUAUUGAUGCCGACGCACGUGCCGGUACUUCUUGUACCGCUUUCAAAUUUGCUGCUCGUUUCAUAUCUGCGCCGAACAUUUCCUGUGGAAACGAAUCCCCGUCGCACACUGUUGGAUGGCCCUGCAGCAGAACUCCUCGAACCGUGGGCAGGCUCCCCAGGCGGGGCUCUCGUCCCCCGUGAUCUCGGAGCGCUUCUCCUCGGGGACCAACUGAGGCCGGAGGCGAAGAGCAGAACCUCGACGCUCCAAUUAGCGCUUUGCGCACCGAACGCACGGACGAGGGAUCGAGGGACCCGAGGCUCCGCUGCCAGGAAGCGUGAGUCAUGUUGGACUUGGGGGGGGGGGGCAGCGGGGAGCGAUGCUCCUCUUCGGCCCAGCGGGAACAAUGAAGGGCCUGGCUGGCUCUGUGUAUGUGUAUGUGUGUGUGUGUGUGUGUAUGGGGGGGGUGUGAGGGGGAGUGAAUGGGGUGACCUUCUGUCUGAUGUUUAUGUGAGCGAGCAUUGCAUUAUGGGAAAGAGGCCUUUCACAGCUGCGUCUGAAAAUGAUCAGACUGUUCUUUUUAUCUCCUCUCUGCCCUGCCCCCCCGACACACACACACACACACACGCCACCUUCAGACCCCCCGCCCCCCCCCCCCCAAAUCGUCCUCACUGUCUCCACUUUUUUUUAUUAUGUUAAUAAUUGGUGCCCAGUCUGGUGGCAAUAAUGUGCCCAUUCUGGGCUGUUUCCUCACAGAGGUCAGAGGUCGGGGGUGAUUAACACACAGGAUGCGACCUUUGGCCCCCCAGCACCUCCGCGCAACAUUAAUCUCGGCCAGGCGAGCAUUCGGCCUGAUAAUGGCACCUUAAUUAAUGAUGCCGUCUGCGCGCAGCCGGUCCCCUGCGCCACGCGGCCCCCGUUAACCCCUCGCUUGCCGCCGGACGCAGCGCCCCUCUCCGAACUCGCAUCCCCCACGUCACUCUUUCCCGCAUCUUCUCAUUUUUGGCUUCGCGCGCAGGUUCUGAGCUUGGCGCCACGUCUUCUGAACGUUCAAGUCACAGAUUUCCAAAGAUUUCUUACUUUAUUCACUUUUGAUUACAAUUUCUUUCUCUACAGGUGGUCCUCGACGUGCGAUGGUUCGACUUACGAUUUUUUCGACUUUACGACGGUGAGCUGGCGAAAGACGUUCGGUAGAAACCGUACUUGGAAUUUUGAAUUUAGAUCUUCUCCUGGGUAAGCGAUAUGCGGAGCGAUACUCUGGUGGUGCUGGGCAGCGGCGGAGAUCCGUACCUCCCCGUCUGUCACACAGAGGUGUGUAUUAGGCCUAUUAAAUGCGAUAUUUUCCACUCAUGGUGUGUUUCGCGGAACGUAACUCCAUCGCAACCCCCUCUCAGCACCCCUAUCUAUUUUCCAUAAUUUUCGUCUGACGUGAUCGAGCGCGCCCGGCGUUUACCCUCCGAGCUGCUAGAUGGCGGUAAAGUGAAGUGAAAUGAAAACGGAUGUGACCACCUUCACUCAACCCACCUCCAUGAUUUUUACAGCUCACAACCAGUGUUCUUCAGUGCUGGAGAUCAAGAAAAAAAUGAGCAAUUUUGCUCAAUUUAUGGAAUAAAUCACUCUACGCAACAUGUUUCUCGUCUGUC
ensembl:lncRNA